GAUAAAGUGUCUGAUUAUAGGUUGUAAAUUGUAAAUUUAUAUAUGAAUUUAAAAUUCCUUUAUCA
rnacentral:tRNA from 1 species